AUUCCAGCUCCAAUAGCGUAUAUUAAAGUUGUUGCAGUUAAAAAGCUCGUAGUUGGAUUUCUGGCUGGAGCGAUCGGUCCGCCCCGCAAGGGGUGUGUACUAGCGUCGUCUCCGACCAUCCUUGUGGGAACUGUGCGGCCGUUAACUCGGUUGUAUAUGGGAACACAUCGUUUACUGUGAAAAAAUUAGAGUGUUUAAAGCAGGCUUAAGCCGUUGAAUACAUUAGCAUGGAAUAAUAAGAUAAGACUUGGGUCAUUAUUUUGUUGGUUUGCGGAUCGAGGUAAUGAUUAAUAGGGAUAGUUGGGGGUAUUCAUAUUUAAUUGUCAGAGGUGAAAUUCUUGGAUUUAUGAAAGAUGAACUUAGGCGAAAGCAUUUACCAAGGAUGUUUUCAUUA
rnacentral:rRNA from 1 species